ACUUAAAUAGCUUAAUUAAAGUAUAAUAUUGAAGAUAUUAGGAUAAAUAAUAAUUUUUUAAGUA
rnacentral:tRNA from 2 species